GCGGCGAAUGCCGAUGGGACUACAUCCCUACGAAGGACGAGGUAGCGGGUUCGACUCCCGCCGGCUCCAUUUUUCGACGGAGCUGUAGCUCAACGGUAGAGCGCGUAUUACGUCUCAUCAUUCUUGUCGUCGCAAA
rnacentral:Y_RNA from 1 species